GUCAGUUUGUUUAGAUCCUGUAGUGAUGGACAAACCAAAAUGCUGCUUCCUGCUUCCAACAGCUGAAUGACGAGUGACCAGAGUUGGAGCAACUGAACCAGAUGAACAACAGGCACCGUGUGAUGCAGAGACUCAACCACUGCUGCCAGCGUCUGAAGCAAAACAAGCCUCUGACCCCGUCUCGCAGCUCGGCCCGACAGCUGCUGCUCCACCUCCAGCAGAGUCAUGGCCGACACAUCCAGCUCCUGUUCUUCUUCCUCUGUGGCUGUUGUAGAGGUCCAGCUGGUCAGCUCCUGCAGGAGACACGAGGCAGCGAUGGAACGUCAACUGAGCGCCUGGGAAUCACCUGCUGCUCUCUCUGCGCCUGAACUUGGCUCCUCCUUCACUGCCUGGGCUGAAGUGGAAACCUGCCACCACAUCAUUCUCCUGCUGCUGCAGACCUGAAAGCUGCCUCAGCGCUGACAGAGAUGCUUCAGAGUGGCUCAGGUACCACAGCAAGAUCUCCUGGCAGGGGGCGCUGUGGAGCACGUGGUACCAAACUCUUAACAAUGAAUACUGCUAUGAAGUAUGUAUUAUGUAGUAUUAUUAAUUGUAACAGUAUUCUGACUUGCUGUACUGAAUCAUCUACAAUAUAUCUACCUGGGUUUAAGGCUCAGAAAGUUAGUUGUUCUAGAGUAGGAAACUCAGCAGUUACUCUAUUAACUUCAGUUUGUAGCUAAUAAACUGAGUCACUACAUUUAAGAUGGGGGAAAAAAUGUAACCACUUUAUAGAUUCACUGUGGGGAAGUUGUGUACUGUAUGAACAGAGCUCCUUACCGUAGGUGGGAGACAUUCUGUUUGGUGAAGCAGAACAGUGUGAAGACAACAGGAACAACUUUUUGUAGAGCUUUAAGUAAAAGGGCUGAUGGACUGUUUCCAAUUACCCAGAUCUGACAGAAAGAAAAGACGUACGUUGUCACCAUGAAUCUUUCUUCAUUAAGAUGUGAUGAUGACAUCUUCAACAAAACCACAUACUGUAGACCAUCCUCGAACCAAACCUGGGAUAUGAGCAAUGAGCUUUGCUAUGAAUGUGUUGUGUUCAGUGUCUUUAUAUUUCCCCACCUUGUACACGUCAUCCACGCACCUCGUCAACUCCCACUCAUCCACAGCAGCCUGUGAAUUAUCUUGGUCUGGUAAAAACACGUAAGCGCACACACACACACACACACACACACACACACACACACACACACACACACACACACA